UACGGGGGGAGCAAGCGUUGUUCGGAAUUACUGGGCGUAAAGGGCUCGUAGGUGGCCAACUAAGUCAGACGUGAAAUCCCUCGGCUUAACCGGGGAACUGCGUCUGAUACUGGAUGGCUUGAGUUUGGGAGAGGGAUGCGGAAUUCCAGGUGUAGCGGUGAAAUGCGUAGAUAUCUGGAGGAACACCGGUGGCGAAGGCGGCGAUCUGGGUAGAUACUGACGCUGAGGUGCGAAAGCGUGGGGAGCAAACAGG
rnacentral:rRNA from 1 species